UUCACAAUAAAUGAACAAACAACAUCCAAAAUCCAAAAUCAGAGUAUACAAACAAGUACAACAUCUCAGGUUCAAUAAAAUUCUUUGUUCACAAAAUCAGAAUUCAGUUCAUCAGAGUUCAGUUCAUCAGAAUCAAUGAAAUCCCAAAAUUAUUUCAUAACAAUUUCAGAGAGUAGAGACUCAGAGUUCAGUUCAUCAGAGCACAGUUCAUCAGAAUCAAUGAAAUAAAAAAAUAGAUUCAUAACAGUUUACUCAGAGUUCAGUUCAUCAGAGCACAGUUCAUCAGAAUCAAUGAAAUCAAAAAAUAAAUUCAAAACAGUUUCAGAGAGUAGAGACCCAGAGUUCAAUUCAUCAGUUCAGUUCAUCAGAAUCAAUGAAAUCA